rnacentral:rRNA from 1 species
GAUGAACGCUAGCAGAACGCCUAACACAUGCAAGUCGAACGGACUUGUUGACUUCGGUUAACAAGUUAGUGGCAAACGGGCGAGUAACACGUGCUUAAUUUGCCCCGGAGAGGUGGACAACUACGGAGACGUAGCUAAACCACCAUACGCUCAUAGAAAUGAAAAUACUAUGAGGAAACAAUUUAUUGCUCUGGGAGAAGGGCGCGGCCUAUCAGGUAGUUGGUGAGGUAAAGGCUCACCAAGCCUACGACGGGUAGCCGGUCUGAGAGGAUGUCCGGCCGCAAUGGAACUGAGACACGGUCCAUACCCCUACGGGGGGCAGCAGUGGGGAAUCUUGGUCAAUGGACGAAAGUCUGAACCAGCGAUUCUGCGUGAAGGAUGAAGCCUCGCGGGGUGUAAACUUCUUUUAUGGGGGAAGACGAAUGACGGUACCCCACGAAUAAGGGACGGCUAACUACGUG